UACGUAGGCAGCGAGCGUUGUUCGGAGUUACUGGGCGUAAAGGGUGUGUAGGCGGUUGUUUAAGUUUGGUGUGAAAUCUCCCGGCUCAACUGGGAGGGUGCGCCGAAUACUGAAUGACUUCGAGUGCGGGAGAGGAAAGUGGAAUUCCUGGUGUAGCGGUGAAAUGCGUAGAUAUCAGGAGGAACACCGGUGGUGCAGACGGCUUUCUGGACCGUAACUGACGCUGAGACACGAAAGCGUGGGUAGCAAACAGG
rnacentral:rRNA from 1 species